rnacentral:lncRNA from 1 species
GACCCUGCUGCAGCAGCACCACCCCCUCGCCUGCUGCACUACUCACCUGGGGGCUGUUGAGCCAGCAGGGCCUCCGGAUGGGGCAGACUGAACAGCAGCACCUUCCCAUCUGAGCAGGCAAGAGCCAAGAGGCCCAAUCGGGGCAGAAGAGGAGCCUAGAGGGGGAGACCAGAUCUGUGCUGAGGCUUGCUGCCUUCAGAGCCUCUCAGAAAACUUUUGAGGUUUCGGCCCCUGGAAAUGAUAUGGGGUUGCCGGGAAAACUCCAUCCACCGCUCUCUGUCCCCUCUGAGAACUCGCAGGGCCUCUCUGUUCUGACUCUGAGUCCUAAAGCAUCCCACAACCAACAGGGAGGUACCUUCCGAGGGGUGCCUGGAAGUUCCCAUGCUCCACUGGGGCAGAACUUGAGGUCCCAGAUGCAGCCAUGGUCACAAGCAAUCCCAUAGACAAAGUGGGCCCUGUUGCCAGGACUGAGGAGAGAAAGCAUAUGGGGAGAAUGGGUAGGGAGAAGGGGCCUAGGGCUGCCAGAGCCUGUGCUCUGCCCCAUCUCAACCCAAUCCAAGCGCCCCAGCGCCCCUGCCCAGCCCCAUCCUUCUCUCCUCCUCAACCACCCUCCCACAGCAGCGUUCCAGCCCCACCUCACCAGCUUUCUUGCUGCAAGGUCCCGAGGCCCCAGAGUUGGAGCAGCCCGGGACCCGAAUGAAGCUGGCUCAGUGCAUGUGUCUCAUUCAUGUCAGGGCUGGAGAAAAGGGCCACAUACUGCGAAGCUGAUGCCCCCUCUGGCACUGGGCACCAAUCCAGAGCCCAGAGGGGUCCCCCUGUGAAGAAGGACACAUCCCAGCGCUCUGGGUGUGCUGUGAUCGAGCUAAAUCUAGAGAAAAGUCAAAGAUGGGAUGAAGAAAGGAAUUAAUAAAAGGUAAUAAGGACUUCAUAAGGUGAGUGGAUAAGCAUCCAAACAAUGGAAUAUUAUAUGGCACUAAAAAUAAAUGAGCUAUCAAACAAUGAAAAGGCACGGAGGAACCUUAAAUGCAUGUUUAAGUGAAAGAAACCCACCUGAAAAAGGCUACACGCUGUAUGAACCCAACUAUGUAGCAUUUUGGAAAAGGCAAAACUAUACAGUCAAAAGAUCAGUGAUAGCCAGGGAUUAGAGGGGAGGAUGAGUAGCUAGAACACAUAGGAUUUUUAGGGCAGCAAAACUACUCUGUAUGAUCCCAUCAUGACAGAGAUAUGUCAUUAUACAUUUGUCCAAACCCAAAGAAUGUACAACACCAAGAGUGAAUCCUGACGUACACUAUGGACUUUGAGUGAUGAUGUGUCAAUGUAGGCUCAUUCAUCGUAACAAAUGUACCCUCUGGUGGGGGAUGUUGAUAAUGGGGCAGCUGUAUAUGUAUGGGGGCAGGGGAGUAUAUGGGAGAUCUCUGCACCUUCCUCUCAAUUUUGAACCUAAAACUGCUCCAAAAAAUUAAGCCUUUAAAAAAAAAAAAAAAAAAAGUAAUGAGGACAGAAUGGGAGCUCCACCUGGAGCUGGUAUGAACUAGCUUAAGCAAGGGCCAGAAUAUCAAGAACAUUCUACAGGUGACAAUAGUCCUUAGCCACCAUCUGUAUCUUCCUCCUUUCCUUCCAAAGCCUGUCUAGCUCUAGUUCACCUUCAAAGAUGACAGGCUGUGAAUUCUGGUUUACCACAGGGCUCUCCAGGGCGAGUGUGCCCAGGUCUAUCUGAGUAGAUGUGACCUUGUAAACGGGUUUGACCUUCCAUCUCCGUAGCUGCCCUCAGUCUGGCCAGCAGUGAUAAGCACUGCAAACUACCUGGGUUGACCAGGUCUAGCAAGGCUGCCCACCCUGGGACCAACUGGAAUAGCAUCAGGGGAAGAAGAGGGCCAAUAUGUCAUCCCUUUCAACAUUCAUUUGUCCUGUUUCUCCUAGAACCAGAAAGAGAUGCAAUCUUCACCUGUUUAUUCGGUAGAGUGUGCCAUCUUCAGGAAGUCCUUCACGCUGUACAGAGAACAGUGGAGACUUCUCCUGCUGGGGCAGGUAGGGCGCCGCCUCACUGGGGGCAGGCAAAGGAAAGAGCAUGAAUGUGGAAGACUUUCACCCACCCCAGGAUUCCCUGUCCCUCUUCUGAUCCCAGGAGUGUCAUUCCCUCCUCGGCUUCAGAAUGUCUAACUUACAGUUCAGACAACAAGUGCCACUUCCAGGCUAAUGGAAUCCACUCUGCAAACUCCCAGUACGAGUGCUUCUGUUCUCGGCUGGAGGGACAGAAGCAGCGUUAGUGAAGGAGGAGAGAAAUUCUUGGGCAGCUCUGUCCAGUAACCUGUGUGCAGUGAUGGGAGGGAUCUAUGAUGUGUGCUGUCCAACGGAUACAUUAGCCGCUAGCUGUAAGUGGCUAUUGAAAUGUGGCUAGUGCAGCUGUGAAACUGGACUUUUAAUUUCAUUUUAAUUAAUUUGAAAUUACAUUUAAAUGGCCACACACACAGCUAGUGGCUUAUGUCGGACAGCAUGGCUCUGGAGCUCUUGCCUUUAGAGCGGUACCUUUUAAUUAUGAAUGUCUUCAGUGU